UACGAUGGGGGCUAGCGUUGCUCGGAAUUCCUGGGCGUAAAGCGCACGUAGGCAGCUCUUUAAGUCGGAGGUGAAAUCCUGGAGCUCAACUCCAGAACUGCCUUCGAUACUGAAGAGCUCGAGUCCGUGAGAGGUGAGUGGAACUGCGAGUGUAGAGGUGAAAUUCGUAGAUAUUCGCAAGAACACCAGUGGCGAAGGCGGCUCACUGGCCCGGUACUGACGCUGAGGUGCGAAAGCGUGUGGAGCAAACAGG
rnacentral:rRNA from 1 species